rnacentral:hammerhead_ribozyme from 1 species
AUCUAGCUGACGAGCCUCAAACAGGACGAAACGCGCGUCGUGGAU